rnacentral:rRNA from 1 species
GUCUACAGCCGCGCUACCCUGAACACACCGGAUCUCAUCUGAUUGCAGAAGCUAAGCAGAGUCGCGCCUGGUUAGUACUUGGAUGGGAGACCACCUAGGAAGACUAGGUGCUGUAGAUG